rnacentral:lncRNA from 1 species
UCAGGCCAUUCUCCCUAUCUCAACAUGUUCUAGUGAUCCCAGCUGUUCUAGUGAUUAUAGAGAACUACAAGCAAGAGGGGCGCUGGGGGAAGGUCAGUUCGAUGCUUUCUGGAGAACUAUCCUUCCAAGGUGGAGAUCCCAUCUUGGAUACCACAUUACCUUAAACACUGCCUCAGCCAGGUGAUCAAGGUCAACGUCUACUGUGAUAAGUCAUGGUUUUGGUGUGUACCCUUGAUGUGAUGUGAUAAAAAUGGCACUUUACCUCUGUGGUCUUCCUCUGAAAAAUCCCGUAACAGCAGCCUAAUCAUGAGAAGCACAUCAACAAAACUCAAACUCAGGGACAUUCUACAAAAUACCAGGCUGUCCCUCCCCGAAAUUGUCAAGUUCACCAAAAACAAGGUGAAUCUAAGAAACCUGUUACAGCCAAGAGGAGCCUAAGAAGACAUGAGGACUAAAUAUAACAUGGAAUUCGGGAUAGGAUUGUGCUACAGAAAAUGUACGUGCUAAUGUGAGAUGUUAACAAUUGGAGAAACUCAGUGUUGGGUAUAAGGAAUUCUCUGUAUUAUGUUUAUCUAAAAACAAUUCCAUGGUGAGCAAACUUAAGCAUAGAAAUGUUAAAUAAAUUGUCCAAAAUAGAGAAGUAAAUAUCAGUGCCAGGUUUCAAGCAUAAGAAUCAUCAACUCUGAACUUUAAACACAGCUCU